UGGAGAUUCUGUGGCUUGACCGGGCAAAAGUCGUAACAAGGUUUCCGUAGGUGAACCUGCGGAAGGAUCAUUA
rnacentral:rRNA from 1 species